rnacentral:lncRNA from 1 species
UUUUGAGAACCUGUUGAAAUCCCUCCAGCAAAAUGCAAAUGAGCACAGAAACCUGCAAGUACUGUACCUAGGCCCAUGGACCUAGUGGAGCUGAUGGAUCAUAGGAGCCCAAAUGCCACAAGAUUUUAUUUUGCUCAUCAAUGUCACAUCUUUGAUGGCACCUAAAAACUGCUCUCCACUGAAGGAACCUGAAUCCUGAAAUCCUGAGCCAAGUAUUCUGUCACUGUUCUACAAAACAAUAAAUAAUGAAGUAAAUUGAAGAUGUGUGAAUUGUGCCAGCUUGACAGAAAAUGGAGCCGAUGUUCUCAGAGGUGUUACAGCAGUAUUUCCUAAUGAGCAGCCGGAGCCUCUCUCUAGCAUCUCAGAAAACCAAAUGGGAAUGGAGGAUAAGAAAGUGGAAGUAAAGACAAAAGGGAAUAUUUAUUUGGGAUUAACUUGUAGUUACUUGAGCUGAUACACCUAUACUAAAGGAACAAAGGAAAUGAUGGAUCUUUUAACCAUCAGGCUUAUUGUGUAAACAUCAUUCUCUUUCAUUCCACGGUGGGAAAAACAAACCUUUUCCUCAAAUUUGACUUUGUA